UACGUAGGGUGCGAGCGUUAAUCGGAAUUACUGGGCGUAAAGCGUGCGCAGGCGGUUUUGUAAGCCAGGUGUGAAAUCCCCGGGCUCAACCUGGGAAUGGCAUUUGGGACUGCAAGGCUGGAGUGCGGCAGAGGAGACUGGAAUUCCUGGUGUAGCAGUGAAAUGCGUAGAUAUCAGAGGAAUACCGAUGGCGAAGGCAGGUCUCUGGGCUGACACUGACGCUCAUGCACGAAAGCGUGGGGAGCAAACAGG
rnacentral:rRNA from 1 species